GCAACUGAAGAAUCCGAAGAAGAAGAUCAGAUUGUCAAUUUAAACAUACUAUUUACAGUUUUGUUAGUAUUUUGCUGUCUUUGCGCACUCUGCUGCAUUCCAUUACUGAUUGGAUACUUCUGCGGCCUGCGCGGCUACAGAAACGAUCCUUACGUGUAUUAUUGAGCCUCAAUAUUUGUUGAGCCAUAAAUCAAAACAAGAGCAUGCCUUGCCUUCCAAGCAAUUCACAUUUCAGACUGAAAAAUUAUAAAAAUUAAAAUGAGCAAUUAUAUGAAAAUCGACGGAUUUAAAGCUGUUGCAUCUACAACUCUGUGCCCUAAGACAGAAUCCGAAGAUGAGCUUAUUAAUUUAAACAUUCUAUGGAUAGUUUUAUUAGUAUUUUGCUGUCUUUGCACCUUCUGCUGCAUUCCAUUACUGAUUGGAUACUUAUGCGGACUGCGCGGCUACAGAAACGAUCCUUACGUGUAUUAUUGAGCCUCAAUAUUUGUUUAGGUACAAAUUUCAGUUUAGAUUGUUUCUUAAAUCUAAAUCAGAAGUGCAAAUAUUUUUCCAGAUAAAAAAAUGAGUGCCAAAGGAUCGCCGAGUACCUCAUCAUUUGUGGACCAAAAAGUUGGAGAUGCGUCGCUAGUUGCAGUACCUCUUUGGAUUAUUCUCACAAUUGCUUUAUGCUGUUGUUGCUGUCUGAUUAGUCCUAUAGUUGCGAUUGUAAUGUAUCUCUUCAGAACUUGCCGUAGACCACAUUACUAAAGAUCAACAAAUACAGAGAACUUA
rnacentral:sRNA from 13 species